GGCUCGUUGGUCUAGGGGUAUGAUUCUCGCUUUGGGUGCGAGAGGUCCAGGUUCGAAUCCCGGACGAGCCC
rnacentral:tRNA from 1 species